rnacentral:rRNA from 1 species
AUUGAACGCUGGCGGCAGGCCUAACACAUGCAAGUCGAACGAGUGGCGGACGGGUGAGUAAUGUCUGGGAAACUGCAUGAUGGAGGGGGAUAAAUACUGGAAACGGUAGCUAAUACCGCAUACAAUCAGAUGUGCCCAGAUGGGAUUAGCUUGUUGGUGGGGUAACGGCUCACCAAGGCGACGAUCCCGAACGGGUCUGAGAGGAUGACCGGCCAUACUGGAACUGAGACACGGUCCAGACGCCUACGGGAGGCAGCAGUGGGAAAUAUUGCGCAAUGGGCGAAAGCCUGAUGCAGCCAUGCCGCGUGGAUGAAGAAGGCUUUCGGGUUGGAAAGUACUUUCAGCGGGGAGGCGUUACCCGCAGAAGAAGCAACGGCUAACUCCGUGCCAGCAGCCGCGGUAAUUC